AUGAACGCUAGCUACAGGCUUAACACAUGCAAGUCGAGGGGCAGCAUGGUCUUAGCUUGCUAAGGCCGAUGGCGACCGGCGCACGGGUGAGUAACACGUAUCCAACCUGCCGUCUACUCUUGGACAGCCUUCUGAAAGGAAGAUUAAUACAAGAUGGCAUCAUGAGUCCGCAUGUUCACAUGAUUAAAGGUAUUCCGGUAGACGAUGGGGAUGCGUCCCAUUAGAUAGUAGGCGGGGUAACGGCCCACCUAGUCUUCGAUGGAUAGGGGUUCUGAGAGGAAGGUCCCCCACAUUGGAACUGAGACACGGUCCAAACUCCUACGGGAGGCAGCAGUGAGGAAUAUUGGUCAAUGGACGAGAGUCUGAGCCAGCCAAGUAGCGUGCAGGAUGACGGCCCUAUGGGUUGUAAACUGCUUUUAUAAGGGAAUAAAGUGGGAGUCGUGACUCUUUUUGCAUGUACCUUAUGAAUAAGGACCGGCUAAUUCCGUG
rnacentral:rRNA from 1 species